CUACGGGGGGCUGCAGUGAGGAAUUUUGCGCAAUGGGGGAAACCCUGACGCAGCAACGCCGCGUGAGUGAUGAAGGCCUUUGGGUCGUAAAGCUCUGUCAAGUGGGAAGAAUAUACUUAAUACGAAUAGUAUUUAGUACUGACGGUACCACUGAAGGAAGCACCGGCUAACUCCGUGCCAGCAGCCGCGGUAAUACGGAGGGUGCAAGCGUUAUUCGGAAUUAUUGGGCGUAAAGAGCGCGUAGGCGGUCUUAUAAGUCAGAUGUGAAAUCCCGGGGCUCAACCCCGUAAGUGCAUUUGAAACUAUAAGACUUGAGUAUGGGAGAGGGAAGUGGAAUUCCUGGUGUAGCGGUGAAAUGCGUAGAUAUCAGGAAGAACAUCGGUGGCGAAGGCGACUUCCUGGACCAAUACUGACGCUGAGGCGCGAAGGCGUGGGUAGCAAACAGGAUUAGAUACCCUCGUAGUC
rnacentral:rRNA from 1 species